AUUGAACGCUGGCGGCAGGCUUAACACAUGCAAGUCGAGCGAACGGCGGGCGGGUGAGUAAUGGCUGGGAAACUGCCUGAUGGAGGGGGAUCAAUACCGGGAACGGUAGCUAAUACCCCCUAACCUCAGAGUGGCCCCGCUGUGAUUAGCUAGUAGGUGGGGUAAUGGCUCACGUAGGCGACGGUCCCUAGCUGGUCUGAGAGGAUGACCAGCCACACUGGAACGGAGACACGGUCCAGACUCCUACGGGAGGCAGCAGUGGGGAAUAUUGCACAAUUGGCGCAAGCCUGAUACAGCCAUGCCGCGUGUGUGAAGAAGGCCUUCGGGUUGUAAAGCACUUUCAGCGAGGAGGCGUUACUCGCAGAAGAAGCACCGGCUAACUCCGUGCCAGCAGCCGCGGUAAUUC
rnacentral:rRNA from 1 species